rnacentral:rRNA from 1 species
UACGUAGGGCGCAAGCGUUGUCCGGAAUUAUUGGGCGUAAAGAGCUCGUAGGCGGUUUGUCGCGUCUGCUGUGAAAGUCCGAGGCUCAACCUCGGAUCUGCAGUGGGUACGGGCAGACUAGAGUGUGGUAGGGGAGACUGGAAUUCCUGGUGUAGCGGUGGAAUGCGCAGAUAUCAGGAGGAACACCGGUGGGCGAAGGCGGGUCUCUGGGCAGUAACUGACGUGGAGGUGACGAAAAGCGUGGGGGAGCAAACAGG